GCGGAAGGAUCAUUAUUGAAUAAACCUGAAGGGUUGUUGCUGGCUCUCUCGAGAGCAUGUGCACGCCUUUCUACGUUUUCCAAUCUCUCCUGUGCACCUUCUGUAGACUUCGAGUUGAUAUUUAGCAAAAUUUUGCGUGUGAGGACUUGCCUUUACGGCUUUCCUUGGUCACUCGAGUCUAUGUUUUUCAUAUACUCCAAUGUAUGUAACAGAAUGUCAAUUGGGCCUUUGUGCCUAUAAAACUAUAUACAACUUUCAGCAACGGAUCUCUUGGCUCUCGCAUCGAUGAAGAACGCAGCGAAAUGCGAUAAGUAAUGUGAAUUGCAGAAUUCAGUGAAUCAUCGAAUCUUUGAACGCACCUUGCGCUCCUUGGUAUUCCGAGGAGCAUGCCUGUUUGAGUGUCAUCAAAUUAUCAACCCACUAGACUUUUGUCUUGGUGUGGCUUGGAUGUGGAGGUUUUUUUUGUAGGCCUAGUCUACUCCUCUGAAAUACAUUAGCGGUCUGAACCGUCUACUUGGUGUGAUAAUUAUCUACGCCACUUGGAUAUUUCAUUCAACUGCUUCUAACAGUCCUAACGGACAAUACAAUGACAAUUUGGCCUCAAA
rnacentral:rRNA from 1 species